ACUUCCGGUUGUCAUUAUUCCUUCGAGUUUAGAUCGAUCACUCUGUUUUAAAAUAGCAGUCUGCAUGUUCAAUGUACACAAUGGAACGGGUUAGUUGCUCGGACAUACAUCUUUUUCGUACAAGUUUCUAUUUGGGUUUGUCGUUUCCUUAUGGGGAAAGACGAUAAUGUCUCUCGUAUUGGUGUUAGCAUUUCAGCUAGCUAAUGAGCUAGUAAAUAAAGUAACCAAGCGGAGUGCUGUCCAGUCUUCUACAAGUCCACAGCGUUCUACUCGUAAGGAAAAGGUGGAGAAAGAGGAGUGAAAGGUGAAGUACCUGAGGGCCACACAGAUGUCAGCAGAGGUGAAGAAGACCUUGGGAGUUCUUCCAGGGACGUUGUGCUCGCCCUGCUUGCUGCACACGGACUGAGGAGGUAGGUAAAGGUGCUUUUGUGUUUACUCUUUGUCAAUGGGCCUAAGAGGAGAGGCGGGGCCACAUGGGGCAGGUAACCCCCCCCCCCACACACACACACGCACACCGCCAUGUUUUUUUAACCUCCGUCUCAGAUGAUAAGCCUGAAGGAAGAAGAAGGACUGAAGGCAAUCAGGGUCAUGCUGUGUUUUUUUCACUUGUAAAAAUGAGUUUGGAAAAGUUAU